GAUUAACGCUAGCGGCAGGCCUAAUACAUGCAAGUUGAACGGGAUUAAGUAGCAAUACUUAUGAGAGUAGCGCACGGGUGCGUAACGCGUAUGCAAUCUACCUUUAACUGGGGAAUAGCCCAAAGAAAUUUGGAUUAAUACCGCAUAACAUUAUUGAUUGGCAUCAAUUGAUAAUCAAAACUACGGUGGUUAAAGAUGAGCAUGCGUGACAUUAGCUAGNGGUGAGGUAAUGGCUCACCAAGGCUCCGAUGUCUAGGGGGUCUGAGAGGAUGAU
rnacentral:rRNA from 1 species